rnacentral:rRNA from 1 species
AUUGAACGCUGGCGGCAGGCCUAACACAUGCAAGUCGAACGGUAACAGGAAGCAGCUUGCUGCUUUGCUGACGAGUGGCGGACGGGUGAGUAAUGUCUGGGAAACUGCCUGAUGGAGGGGGAUAACUACUGGAAACGGUAGCUAAUACCGCAUAACGUCGCAAGACCAAAGAGGGGGACCUUCGGGCCUCUUGCCAUCGGAUGUGCCCAGAUGGGAUUAGCUAGUAGGUGGGGUAACGGCUCACCUAGGCGACGAUCCCUAGCUGGUCUGAGAGGAUGACCAGCCACACUGGAACUGAGACACGGUCCAGACUCCUACGGGAGGCAGCAGUGGGGAAUAUUGCACAAUGGGCGCAAGCCUGAUGCAGCCAUGCCGCGUGUAUGAAGAAGGCCUUCGGGUUGUAAAGUACUUUCAGCGGGGAGGAAGGGAGUAAAGUUAAUACCUUUGCUCAUUGACGUACCCGCAGA